UCCAACACACUACCUCUUUUCUCAUAAAAAACUUUUCAGCAUCCAAAAGCUCUCUUCAAUAUAUUAUUUCCAGUUUUUCUCUCAUCCCCUCUUUUAUCUUUGCCUUUGAAUUGAUCUAUCCAUCCAAAGAAAGAUUUGUAGAUUUCUUUCUUCUACACUACACAAUUUCUAUACAGAAGAAGACUCUAAAAGAUUAUCUGAGUAAGGAUGAGAGUGGAAGUCAAAGCUGCUAUUUGUGUACAAUUGAGCCACUUGGGAACUAAGCCCUAUUGAAGAGCCACUAAGCCAUUUGAGAUCUUUUGUUUUGUUUUGUUGAAUUGAAGUUAAAUAUGAUUUUUGUUGUUUAUGGAUCAUGUACUUCUAGUUUUUUGUUGUUGUUAGUUGAAUGAAAUUAUUCUAUUUAAGCAGGCUGUUUAUGGAUCA